rnacentral:rRNA from 1 species
GACGAACGCUGGCGGCGUGCCUAAUACAUGCAAGUCGAACGCAUUUUCUUUCACCGUAGCUUGCUACACCGAAAGAAAAUGAGUGGCGAACGGGUGAGUAACACGUGGGUAACCUGCCCAUCAGCGGGGGAUAACACUUGGAAACAGGUGCUAAUACCGCAUAAUUCCAUUUACCGCAUGGUAGAUGGAUGAAAGGCGCUUUUGCGUCACUGAUGGAUGGACCCGCGGUGCAUUAGCUAGUUGGUGGGGUAACGGCCUACCAAGGCUGCGAUGCAUAGCCGACCUGAGAGGGUGAUCGGCCACACUGGGACUGAGACACGGCCCAGACUCCACGGGAGGCAGCAGUAGGGAAUCUUCGGCAAUGGACGCAAGUCUGACCGAGCAACGCCGCGUGAGUGAAGAAGGUUUUCGGAUCGUAAAACUCUGUUGUUAGAGAAGAACAAGGAUGAGAGUGGAAAGUUCAUCCCUUGACGGUAUCUAACCAGAAAGCCACGGCUAACUACGUG